GGGUCAGUAGGUUGGUCGUGCCACCGGUACGUACUGGUCUCACUGAUUCCUUCUUCCUGAAGAACCGUAAUGCCAUUAAUUUGGUGUUGCGGGGAAACAGGACUGUUACUUUGAAAAAAUUAGAGUGUUUAAAGCAAGCUAACGCUUGAAUACAUUAGCAUGGAAUAAUGAAAUAGGACGAUCGAUCCUAUUUUGUUGGCUUCUAGGAUUGACGUA
rnacentral:rRNA from 1 species